ensembl:lncRNA
CUGGGAAGAAUCUAAAUCAAUAGGGAGUAAAAAAAAUUAAGUGUAGUUAAAACUGCAAAGCUGAAGCUCAGUUUUAUGUUUUAUUAAACAUUCUGGUUCAUACUGAAGUCACAUAAUGUGAUCUACACAUAAAAUUUGUAAUAACAGACUCUUUAAUCAUAGAUUAAAAGUUAGUGACAAAUUUAAAAUAUGUACCAGAUAUGAUGAUGAACUCCUGAUUUCCUGUAACAGGCUUAUACUGUCCUAGGACAAUUCUCCAAGGAGCCUUCAGCUUAGUCAGCAUCUUGGAUGUAGUGGUCAAAGCUGAUGCUUUAUCCAGGUGCCAGGAAAUCACCCCUCUUCUAUCCCAAAAGACAGUGAAUGUCACUUUACCUUCUGAGGGCCACAGCUUGAACUUUUUUUGAAAGGGAAUUCACAUGUUGGCUGCCCGGAAUGUGGCUUGUCUUUCAUGUCACUGUUGGCACUGCUGCAAUGCACCACCCACUACCUCACUACCUCACCCAAUAUCACAGUGGUCACAUCCACUGCUUAGUCUCCACAAGCAUUCAGCAUCGAUGAAUGUCAGUGCUAUUUUUUUUCACAUAGAUGUUGCGUGUAGUCUCCGUUCGCUCGUCCGGUGUUCGUCCUCUGUCCACAUGUAGGGCUUACUGCUGGGCGAAACCGACCCUUUACCAGGUCGGGGCCAGAUGCUCACCCAGACCCCAGGAGUAAGUGAGGCAAAUGGCGUUUAUUCACUACUAAACACAGCUUAUAUACAUUUUACCUAGAUAACCGUGCUGUCAUGUCCCACUCUGAUUAGUUCACACCAGAUAACAUUGUGCCUUAUUUGGCCGUUUCCACAUUCUUUUAUCAUCCUUCUUCUUCUCCUGUUUUCUCUGCAACAAGGUCAGCACGAUAGCACUGUCUCUCUAUGUUUAGGGAGAGGCCUGUCCCGUACAUCCCGUGCCCCCGCAAGACGCCUACUACAACAUCUCCCCCUCCCUAAGCUAAAUACUACUUACACACACACCUAACCCGUACAUCGCGAAGCAGCGCAAAACGCCUAAUCCUAAAUAUAUUUCAGCACACUAUUCCUACUAUUUUCUACUACAGUUCUUAAGCAAUCAUCAGAGCAACAGGGAAUUCUUUUCCGUGCUCGGCCAAGCCUUGCCCCGUUACAGCACGAACGCAACAACCUAAACCCCUCUAUAAUUUUUCACGCAAUCUAUGAUACUCAAUGUGAUAGUCAAAAGUCUUGUCCAUCAUUCGUUGAAGGCAGUUCUGCAAGCAUCCUACAAAGCAUGGAAGACAGAUUAGAAUACACACAAAGAUUGCAAAUCCUACUGCGAGAGCUUUAAGCAAUUGCUUUAACCAUGAACCCGUUCCCCCAAACAGUCCGUCCAGCCAGCUUCCAAAGGGAUCACACUCUUCUUUCAUUUUCUGCAUAUGUUCUUGUGUCCAUUGUAGUUGUUUGUGACACUCUGUAAUCGCCAUGGACACCAUAAAUAUCAGCAACAUCGGAAGUGUCAGCGUUGCAGGUGUAGUGCUCCUCUUGAUGAAUGCUUCUUGAUCCCAUCGUCUGUCCCUCAGUUGUUCUGGAGUUGGCUUCGGUUUGCCAACGAAGAAUUUCUGUAGAAAACUCGCACCUAGACUCAGUUUUUGCAGAUAUGUUACUUAUAUCUGGUAUUACUUUUCGCGAUGGUACCCACAGAGUUUUUCCCAGAUUCAUGAUGUUUAACUGCCACAUACCCGACGACUGAUACCCUUUAGUAAGCCCUUCCUGUGAUCAGGAGGCCCUGACUGACCUCCCCCACAGGGGCACUGUGCUCUAACAUGGCCAUACUGGCCGUAUCGGAAACACAGCCCUUGCUGCUGCAGCAAUCUUUGCUGCCGCAAGCCAACAGCUACGACAGUAGCUGUGGCUAGCCCUUCAUUAGUUAAAUGAGCCACCUUGAGCUUAUCUAAGACAUACUGAAUAACUUCUCCCUGGGUAUUAAGCGUACUUGGGCCGGCUCGCAGCAAUGCCUUAACAUUGUCAUGCGAUUUCUGUUGCAGGCAGUCAAUGAUCACUGGCCCUUGGGCUGGUUCCAGGAGAUCAGACCCCUCUGCAGCAGCUAAAAGCCUGUCUGCAAAGCUUUGAAAGGAUUCAUUCGCGCCCUGGGUAAUAUCUGUGCACGGAGCAGGUGGUUCGGCCUUAUGCACAAGUUUAUUAAACGCUUCCACCACUGCAUCUGUGGCUGCUAUUAGCUCCCCUGGCCUUAGUCUCGCUAGCUGGCCCUGGGGCAAAGCCACUCCCACAGCCUUCCCUGAAAGCCGCUGGAUGCCGGUCCCAUGCAGGGAGCAGCCCGGGCCGACCACUGCCGCCCCGGCACGGCCCCCCAACUCGGCCAUCCAGUCUGUCUCCUAUAACGUAUAUUGAACCAGCCUGAGCACCAUACGCAUUAAGUUUGUGAUGUCACGGGGGAAGAGAGGCCCCAGUGCAGCCAAAGUUUGUAGUGCAUUUAAUGUCAGAGGCGAUUUCAGGCCUCUUUUAUCCAUAAAUUCCACCAGGCGCGUAACACCCCCGGGGUCAGGCGGCACCCAUUCGGGACCACGAUCACUCACAAUCACCCGGAAUGCCUCUGGAACUAUACCCUUCCCCAGAGCCUCCGAUCUAAUCCCAUUCCAGUCCGUCAUUUGAUCCUUCCCCCUGCACUCAAAGCCAGUCCCUUCUUUCUCCUCUACACUAUCACUCCUGGGAGAGACCAGAGACGGUAGGCUCUGCCCCCUGUCCGCAUUGGACGGACCUUUCGUCUGGUCCCUCCCCAUGUGGGCACUAAGUUGAUCCUGCCCGUGUAGAUCACAGCUUCCUCCGCCCCUUUGAGUCAGGUAACACUGACGUAAUUCUGAUAAAGGAUACAACGUUCCGCCUGAGGGGUUCGGAUACGGGGGAGGGGGACGAGACAACGACGUUUCACUCUCUUGUUGUUUGUCUUCUUUUGAACUGAGCGCGGUCGGCUCAGCCGGCGCCAUCUCGCCAGCGGUCAUUGGCGGCUCCGUCUCCUCUCGGCCCCUGCAAGAAACUGCUCCCGAACCCCCAUCGGACCCGACCGGGUCCCAUGUCUCGCCUCCUCCGCUAAGACCCAAAAGGGAGAGGCCUGUCCCGUACAUCCCGUGCCCCCGCAAGACGCUUACUACAACACUGGGUGAUUUUCAAAUGGAACAUGUAGAGCU